GGGCUUGUUUUGUAGCCAAGUAGUGGGCAUAUUGCAAUCCAAACUUGGGUAUUUUAUUAGUUUGGUAGCCAUUUAUCCGAAUACUGAGGCCCGCUCUUAAAAGACGGCCCGCACCAAAAAGCACUGUUCCUCUACGUAAUUGAAACCCGGGGUCACCCUCGGUUCUAUUUCCAGGUGUGCUACAGUGGUAGCUGCUAUUUUGAUGUGUACAAUUUUACCCACUAUUUCAAAGUAAAAAAAAAAAUCAAACUUUCAUUUCUCUCUCUCGUUUUUUGUUCUGCUCGACGAACUUGUGUUCUUCGCAGAGGGACGAACAAGAAGCAAAGUCACAGAUCCUUGUCUAUAGCUGCCUCAUCCGGCCGUGGGGAUAGCAAAGUCGCCGUAUCGUUUCUUUGGUUUCUAGAAAUCGGAAGGCUUCAAUUGUCAACAAAAGGAUAUUCUGGUAAUUUACAAAAAAAAAAAAAUCAGGGAUAGAAUAGUAAAUUUACAGACUUUUCACUUUCUUAAGAAAGACUACCAAAUAUCCCCCGUGGGUUUGCUUAUUUUUUUCAAUAUCUACCAAACAUCAUUCCCCAAUUAGUAAUCUGGCAUCUUUAGCAUUAUGGACUAAACUAUAUUCUGCUACAAAA